AUUGAACGCUGGCGGCAUGCCUAACACAUGCAAGUCGGACGAGCGGCGGACGGGUGAGUAAUGUAUGGGGAUCUGCCUGAUGGCGGGGGAUAACUACUGGAAACGGUAGCUAAUACCGCAUACCAUCAGAUGAACCCAUAGGGGAUUAGCUAGUAGGUGUGGUAAAGGCUCACCAAGGCGACGAUCCCUCGCUGGUCUGAGAGGAUGACCAGCCACACUGGGACUGAGACACGGCCCAGACUCCUACGGGAGGCAGCAGUGGGGAAUAUUGGACAAGGGGCGAAAGCCUGAUGCAGCCAUGCCGCGUGUAUGAAGAAGGCCUUAGGGUUGUAAAGUACUUUCAGCGGGGAGGCGUUACCCGCAGAAGAAGCACCGGCUAACUCCGUGCCAGCAGCCGCGGUAAUAC
rnacentral:rRNA from 1 species